rnacentral:rRNA from 1 species
GUCUACGGCCAUACCACCCUGAACGUGCCCAAUCUUGUCUGAUCUUGGAAGCUAAGCAGGGUCAGGCCUGGUUAGUACUUGGAUGGGAGAAAUGCCUCCUUACUGCAGAUC